GACUGGAGGACUUAGGUUGCACG
rnacentral:miRNA from 1 species